rnacentral:rRNA from 1 species
GAUGAACGCUGGCGGCGUGCCUAAUACAUGCAAGUCGAGCGAAUGGAUUGAGAGCUUGCUCUUAUGAAGUUAGCGGCGGACGGGUGAGUAACACGUGGGUAACCUGCCCAUAAGACUGGGAUAACUCCGGGAAACCGGGGCUCAUACCGGAUAACAUUUUGAACCGCAUGGUUCGAAAUUGAAAGGCGGCUUCGGCUGUCACUUAUGGAUGGACCCGGGUUCCAUUAGCUAGUUGGGAGGGUAACGGCUGACCAAGGAACCGAUGCGUAGCCCACCGGAGAGGGUGAUCGGCAACACUGGGACUGAGACACGGCCCAGACUCCUACGGGAGGCAGCAGUAGGGAAUCUUCCGCAAUGGACGAAAGUCUGACGGAGCAACGCCGCGUGAGUGAUGAAGGCUUUCGGGUCGUAAAACUCUGUUGUUAGGGAAGAACAAGUGCUAGUUGAAUAAGCUGGCACCUUGACGGUACCUAACCAGAAAGCCACGGCUAACUACGUGCCAGCCGCCGCGGUAA